GUAGGUGGCAAGCGUUGUCCGGAAUUAUUGGGCGUAAAGCGCGCGCAGGCGGUCCUUUAAGUCUGAUGUGAAAUCCCACGGCUCGACCGUGGAAGGUCAUUGGAAACUGGGGGACUUGAGUACAGAAGAGGAAAGCGGAAUUCCAAGUGUAGCGGUGAAAUGCGUAGAGAUUUGGAGGAACACCAGUGGCGAAGGCGGCUUUCUGGUCUGUAACUGACGCUGAGGCGCGAAAGCGUGGGGAGCAAACAGGAUUAGAUACCCUGGUAGUCCACGCCGUAAACGAUGAGUGCUAAGUGUUAGGGGGUUUCCCGCCCCCCUUAGUGCUGCAGCUAACGCAUUAAGCACUCCGCCUGGGGAGUACGGUCGCAAGACUG
rnacentral:rRNA from 1 species